AUGGAGAAUCUGUAAAGCUCAGGAGGGAUAGCGCCAUGGAUGAUUCAAUUGAUCUGUUUGCACAUCUCUAGCGCUAUCCAUCCUGAGUUUUACGGCUUUUUCAC
rnacentral:pre_miRNA from 1 species